AUACGUAGGGGGCGAGCGUUGUCCGGAAUUAUUGGGCGUAAAGCGCGCGUAGGCGGCCGGUUAAGUCCUGUGUGAAAGACCACGGCUCAACCGUGGGGGUGCACGGGAAACUGGCCGGCUUGAGUGCAGGAGAGGGGAGCGGAAUUCCCGGUGUAGCGGUGGAAUGCGUAGAGAUCGGGAGGAACACCAGUGGCGAAGGCGGCUCUCUGGCCUGUAACUGACGCUGAGGCGCGAAAGCGUGGGGAGCGAACAGGAUUAGAUACCCUGGUAGUCCACGCCGUAAACGAUGAGUGCUAGGUGUUGGGGGCAUCAGGCCCUCUGUGCCGAAGGAAACCCAAUAAGCACUCCGCCUGGGGAGUACGGCCGCAAGGCUGAA
rnacentral:rRNA from 1 species